AAACUACACAAAACUAAAAAAAAGAGAAAGAGAGCGCAAUGGGGGCAUAAAAGUCAUUUCAUGGACCGCAUAUACAGAUUUCCGUAUAUAUCCAGCAGGAACGGCUCCGAAGUCCCGAACCCGAACCUUUCCCGACUCACUACAAUCACUGGCUACUCUCACUCGCAGAAAUUAGGGCAAACGAUUCGAUUCCCUAUAAACCUCUCUCUACUCUCUUUGUUCAGUUUUCAUGAAUUCUUUAACCGCCAAAUCGCAAUCCAACGUACAAUCACAACCCGUUCCCUAGAACCGACGAUAAUGUUCUUCAACGACUGUAUUCAGCGGAGGCUAGCGUCUCU
rnacentral:lncRNA from 1 species